AUGGCAAAUGUUCUGCUAUCUGGUCUCCGUGGAGCAAAACAGCUGGGGCAGAACUUCAGAUCUGCAUGCAGGUCUCUUUCAUCAGGACAAUUGGUCGAGCCCGGCUAUGUCUUCGGUCGUAAAUGUUUUGGGCCAGAUUACGGGGUUACCACCUCUGUUGGUCAAUAUGGACUGCCCAAGUCUGUGGACUGGAGAAAAGUCCCAUGGCUUAAAAUCCCAGUGAAAGAUCAGCGUGGCUGUGGUAACUGCUAUAUUCAGGCAUCUCUUGUUGGUAUUGGGAGUCUUCAUUCCAUCAUAACUGGAAUAAACGUCGAACUUUCUAGCCAGCAUGUUCUUGAUGCGAAUACUAUAACUAAUUCUGGAUGCAUGGGAGGCACAAUACCAAAGGUCUUCGACUUUGUCAUGAGGGGUGGAGUAGUCCUAGAAUCUGCUUAUCCAUAUACUGGGAAGAGGGGCUUUUGCCAGGAUAUUAAGGCUAAAGGUCUUACUAUUGAGGGUUGGGCACAAGUCGCUCCAGCAGAAGAAGCUCUCAUGUAUGCUGUGGCCCAUCAGCCAGUUGCCGUUGGAGUAGCUGCUGGGACAGAGUUUGAAAAUUAUCAAUAUGGCGUUAUGAAUGUCCCAGUAGACCAUGGAAUUUUAAAUCAUGCAAUGUUAUUGAUUGGAUAUAAUGCCACUUCUUGGCUACUUCUGAAUUCAUGGAGUGAGGCAUGGGGCAUUAAAGGUGCUUGUCGGAUCCUGAGGAAAUCGCCAAAUUCUGAUGGAUCUAUUGGAAUUUUAUCUAGGGCCUAUCUCCCCCUAAAUCCAUCUUUCACAACUGUCAGAACGAGAACAGAAAGUUGCCCUUGUUAUUGGUCCAGGACGAAAUCUCCUUGA
rnacentral:rRNA from 1 species